UUGUUGUAGUAAAGGAGAGAAAGUUAACACUCGUCUUGACAAGGAUGGAAAUGGCCCCUGUGGCCUGCGACACACACAUGGUUAAGGCUUUGCCACCUACUUUGUGGCAUGUUUUUUAGUGAAUUGC